GCGACGACGGCGACGCGAAUGAUUGGGAGGAGAGAGGGGCGUACGUCGAGGCGAUCCGGGCAGGGCGGAAGGCGACAAGGGGAAGUGGGCCGCGACAAGAUCCAUGAUCCGAGGAGAUGGAAAAUACAGGGAGUUUAGAGAAAGAUAUUUUUACAGUGAGAUGGCGUUGGCCAAAACUGGAUGUCUGCAAUGCUGCAGCCAAAGCUAUGACAUUGUCUAUACAGUACAUGUCAGCAAGUGGAACGCAGAACAGUUACUCUGUGAGAAGGUACUCGGAUGGGUCAUGAGAGCAGCUCACAAUGCCUGGUGUUGGCAGUCAUGAUGUGGUGUGGUAUAAUUUCAAGACGACAAUGCCCUUAGGUUGGUGGAACAUCCAUUAUAAGGAGGAUUCAAAAUAAGUGGGGCAGUAAUUAGUUUGAUGAUGCUUUUUAUUUGGUCUGCCGUACCAGUCCACCAAUCCCUGUUAUACAUUUGGGUAUUAUCAGAAGAGCACAGUCACGUGAUGCACAUGUCAUGCCAUGGAUUCUUGGACGAAUGACACGAUCAAUUCAUGGUGCCUGCUCUUGGCAUCUGACACGACAGAUAAACAAUGGAACACCCGAGACUGAAGAUUUUUUUUGGAAAGCUCACCAAGAGUGAAUGAUCAUUUUUGUAUCUUUUAGAUUGAUUGGUGCAUGGAAAGAAAGGUUCCGGAAGAUGCAUUUGGUUGACUGGCAGCAGAGAGGAGAAGAUUACUGCAUUUCUUGGAAGGAAAAGCGAGUGUUUCCCAAAUGACGCUAAGGUCUUAAAGGAAGAUGACAAACAAACAUCUGCGGGGAAAAAUGUGCAGCUGAGGGGUUGGAUGUUGUGCAGGCAUGAGUUUUUUCCUUUUGCCCAAUCGAGCUUGGCUUUGGGAAGAAGAGAAAGGCGUUUGAUGGAGGCAGGUCCGUCCGUCCCUCAGGUGGGGAGAAGAGCCUGUGCUCCACCUGGCCAGUGAAGUGGUGGCUGGCUGCCCUGUCAAUGCCUUUGCCUUUUUUCACAAAAGAGGUAAAAAGGAGCUGUGCACUUGAAACUUUGAUGCUGGCAAGCCUACACGUACCGGGCAUUAUGGGAGUACCUCCUGCCUGUGGAGCUUGUGAGAUGAUGAUGCAGCAGCAGCAGCAACAACAGCAACAGUCAAUUUGGGUAUAAGUAAAUCCUGCUGUGCAGUGCAAUGCACACUGAGCAGUGGGUGCCCCUUUUUCUUUUUCUGCAGAUCAAUGAUUGGGAGUUUUGAGGCAUAUGGUAGGUACUUUAUGGUUUCUUUUACCCUUAGGCGGCCGCUGUAGGGCACUAGCUGAGCUUGUGCCCCAGAUUGUUUGCAACACAGUUAAGCAGCAUGAGUCCAGGACUGAGACUUGAGAGUGAGCAAUAUACUACUAUGUAGAAUUCUGCUGCGGCUGCAAGGCAAAAACAUUCCCUGUACACAAGGACAAGUGUGCCUGUAUCAUCAUAUUGGAAGCAUGCGUUUGUUUAUUAAUAAUCUCGCCAUGGAAACCGGUAAGCAGCAGAUCCCAAGAGCCUUGCCUUGGCUGUCCCAAGUACUCCCCCCCACAAGCACAAGCACUGGAGUCCAAUCCACUCCAGCAGCAGCAGCAAGCAGGGCAGGUGGCCAUCUCAUCUCAUCCCACCCCAUUUCCAUGCAUCCUCUUGUGUGAUGCAAACAAUGUUGCAGCCAGCGCAGUCUGACAGAGGAGAUGAACAGUUCGCAGGCCCCGCCACCAGGUCCGGUGCGGCAGGCAGCGCCUUUAUCGGCCGCUACAGUCCUGGUCCUCGGUCGGCCCGCGAUCGCCCGCCCUUGCCAGUGGUGAGUGACAGCUUGUCCCGACGCCGUACGUACAUGUCCAUGUGUGUUGCGUUGUUUACAGAGGAGGUGUUAGCAAUGGAGCUGCUGAUGAUGCAGCGACGCUGAGCAGAGCAGAGCAGGCGCACACCACCAUUGCUAUGCUAUGAUCAAAUCUAUCUUCUACCCUUCGUCUAUCUGCUGCUUGAUGCUGCUGCUGCUGCUGCUAUCUUGGCUGCCGUGCUUGCUCCAACUGUGGCACACCAUUUGUUCCCUUGGCAGUUGGCAAGGCACUCUUAAAUGGCCCGCACCCAGCGUCGUUGCUUUGUAAUACAAAGCGGGGAAACUCUUUUUCGGUAAUGGCCCGCACCCAGUGGUGCCCAUCUCUUCAUUUAAUGGCUUCUACUCUGCAUCGCGGGAGAAGGACCACAAGAAUGACAGAGAAAGUAAUCAGAGGGGCACUGUGGCGCCACAAUCUUUGCAUCAUGCAUGCAUCUCUCAUACCUGCCUUUCCUCUUGUACUCUUUUUGCCCCUCUCCGUUUAUCCUCUCGCCCUUGCCAAAGAACAAAAGGAACAUGACAUGUGUAC